GUGUCAGCCGCCGCGGUAGGACGUAGGUGGCGAGCGUUAUCCGGAUUUACUGGGCGUAAAGCGCGUGCAGGCGGUUCGGUAAGUCGGGCGUGAAAUCUCCUGGCUCAACUAGGAGAGGCCGUCCGAUACUUCCGAACUUGAGGGCAGUAGAGGGAGGUGGAGUUCCGGGUGUAGUGGUGAAAUGCGUAGAUAUCCGGAGGAACACCGGUGGCGAAAGCGGCCUCCUGGACUGCACCUGACGCUCAGACGCGAAAGCUAGGGGAGCGAACGGGAUUAGAAACCCCGGUAGUCCACGCCGUAAACGAUGGGCACUUGGUGUCGCGGGUAUCGACCCCUGCGGUGCCGAAGCUAACGCAUUAAGUGCCCCGCCUGGGGAGUACGGUCGCAAGGCUGAA
rnacentral:rRNA from 1 species